CCCUUCUGCCCUGUUGCUCUCUUGUUCAUGGUCCUCUCAGAUCGACACAUCUGCUUGCAUUUAAAACUAAAGAUGAUACGUGGAGAGGAAGGGGGGAGACUUAUAGUGUUGUGCUAUUUUGCUAUCCUUAGAGGUUUUCGUUUAGGGGGUUGUAGUAUUCGUUUGUAGGUUUUAACGUGGCUUGGAUCUGGUGUGUGUUGUCAAGCCUGUGUUACCCUAAU